rnacentral:tRNA from 2 species
GCUGGGAUGGCAGAAAAAUGCGACUGGUUUAGGUCCAGCUUAUAGGUUAUAUUGGUAGACCUUCCCAGUU